AUCGCGCGCGCCAUUUCUCUCCUAAAACCCUUCUUCCCUCCUCUCCCAAAUCGCGCCUCUUUUAGUCCACAAUAACCGACUGAAAGUCUCUCUCUCUCUCUCUCUCUCUCCAACUCUCUCUCUCUCUCCAACGUCUCUCGAUCUCCCUCUUUUAGUCCACCAACCGACUGAAAGUCUCUCUCUCUCUCUCUCUCUCUCUCUCUCUCUCUCCAACGUCUCUCGAUCUCCCUUUUCCACUCCGGUCUCUCUUGAUAUGGCUUCCAUUUCCAUUGCUUGUUGAAGAUGCUUAUCUCUCGGCCAUUGCCCGGCGAGAAGGCCCGCAAGAGGAAGAAGCACCAGAAACAGCCGCAGCAGUAGCUCCUCUUCUCCAACAGCCGCAGCAGGACAACACUCUCCACAUGGGCAGGGACAACACGCUACUUGUUUGAUGAAAUGCUUUAGCCAAAUCCUUUUUUGGAUGAAACCGUGCUAUCAAUUGGACUUGAGACCACCUUUCUCAAUUGGGAUCAGCGACCAAGUCAAUGUUAUAAAGACAACUGGUCUGGAAAUCUAGGAAGAUAUAGUGUUCAUGGUGGAUAUGUUUGUUGCAGGCAUUGGAACUGGUGAAACUAUUUCUGGCGUUGGCUAUUUUCUGAAAGACAAAAAUCCUAACAUAAAGGUAUAAUAUGAUGAUGUAUUUUAUGGUCGGAGUGGCUUUAGGAACGAUUCCAGGGCUGGCCCACCAUGAGCUGAGUUGGUUUGAGGCCUUUCCAGGCCAAUUACAUGAAUGUCCAAACAGGACAGGCUGGGCCAACUUGUCAGGCCUUUAGGGUCCUUGGACGCAUUGUUGACUGUCUUGAAUACCUGCAAUGUUCGUUUCCUCAAAAACCAAUUGGAUUUGUUUUUGGGGUCUCUCCUAUUUGUUACCUAAAUCAUCGAUUGAGUCCCAAACCAAUGAUUGCAGGUGGCAUCCAAACACAAAUAUACAAGCAGCAAGACAGAUAUAUUUGUUGUGGGGAAUGUAACUGGUGGAACUAUUCUGAUGUUUGUUCAUUUUCUAAAUAAAAAAUA